GCGCCUGUUUUGGGCAGAUGGAGGUCGAAGACCCCGUGCCCACCGCAUUUUCCGCAUCCCCGAGAACGGGCGAUCGAUCGAGGGCCGCGACGACAGCCGAAGGAGCGCUGCCGCGGAACACGAAAGCCGCCUUGAGGUUCACCCGAGGCCGCACCGUGCGAACGGGAAGCCCCUGGGCGAACGGGACAAGUUUCGACAAACGAAUUCCUUC
rnacentral:misc_RNA from 1 species